rnacentral:rRNA from 1 species
CACGGAGUUAGCCGAUCCUUAUUCCUUCGGUACAUUCAGCUAUCUACACGUAGAUAGGUUUAUUCCCGAAUAAAAGCAGCUUACGACCCAGAGGGCUGUCUUCCUGCACGCGGCAUGGCUGGUUCAGAGUUGCCUCCAUUGACCAAUAUUCCUUACUGCUGCCUCCCGUAGGAGUCUGGUCCGUGUCUCAGUACCAGUGUGGGGGGUCAUCCUCUCAGAUCCCCUAGACAUCGUGGUCUUGGUGGGCCGUUACCCCGCCAACUAACUAAUGUCACGCAUGCCCAUCUUAAUCCUAUAAAUAUUUGAUCAUUGUAUAAUGCUAUACUGUGAUUUUAUGCGGUGUUAAUCCGAAUUUCUUCGGGCUACUCCCCUGAUUAAGGUAGGUUGCAUACGCGUUACGCACCGUGCGCCACUUUCCUUUCCACGCAAGCUAGGAAAGUAUCGUUCGACUUGCUAUGUAUUAGGCCUGCCACUAGCGUUCAUCCUGAGCCGAGGAUAA